GUUUUGAAGUUAAGAAUCACACACAGCUGCGGGUUUGGGUCACUCGAGGGCCAUUUCCAUUCACAGCUCCUUUUCCCUGAGUUCUCCAGCCCGCCCUGCGUCCGGCCGCGUAACUGCGGCGGGUGAGCAGCUCGUGUGCUUGUAGAACCCCGCUGUGGACGUAACAACAGGAACCUGUACAGCCGAGCGAAUUCUGCUCUAAUCCGCUGAGCAGAGGCAGCCCUAUAAAAUGCUUAUGCCUAUAAAAUCUAUCUGCCUGCAGCACGCGCACACAGCCUAUUGCAGAGAUCCAAAUAAAAGUCUGGGGUUCCUGUGUCAAGAUGACAUGCUGGUAUUUUCUUAAAGACAGCAGGAAAAUAAAUAAAGACGUCUGAA
rnacentral:lncRNA from 1 species